rnacentral:rRNA from 1 species
AACGAACGCUGGCGGCAUGCCUAACACAUGCAAGUCGAACGAGACCUUCGGGUCUAGUGGCGCACGGGUGCGUAACGCGUGGGAACCUGCCCUUAGGUUCGGAAUAACUCCCCGAAAGGGGUGCUAAUAUCGGAUAAUGUCUUCGGACCAAAGAUUUAUCGCCUUUGGAUGGGCCCGCGUUGGAUUAGCUAGUUGGUAGGGUAAAAGCCUACCAAGGCGACGAUCCAUAGCUGGUCUGAGAGGAUGAUCAGCCACACUGGGACUGAGACACGGCCCAGACUCCUACGGGAGGCAGCAGUUGGGAAUAUUGGACAAUGGGCGAAAGCCUGAUCCAGCAAUGCCGCGUGAGUGAUGAAGGCCUUAGGGUUGUAAAGCUCUUUUACCCGGGAUGAUAAUGACAGUACCGGGAGAAUAAGCUCCGGCUAACUCCGUG